ACAGAGAAAAAACCAUUGGAUUUAAUGUAUGUUUUAUUUUUUUGCAAUUCCUUGAAAUGUCCCACAGAGGGCGCUAGGUGCCUAUGUGGUGAUCCAAACCUACCAUGGGGUCAGAGAAGAAAGAGGAGGAAGGAAAAAAAGCGAGACACCAUGCAAAGAAGCCAACGUGGUUCGGCUCUAGCAACCUAGCUUAGCCAAAAACGUAAUCGAGUUGCUUCUUUAAUGUUGAAUUUAAGGUUUUGUUAAGUGUAACAACCGUGUUGGAUUUUUGUUGUUCGUGAGGGAGGAAUUCGGAGGACCCGAGUUUGAUGUGAUUGGUCGGGAUUUUCUCCGGUUGGUUUUAUGACUACGGUCGGAUUCUGAGAGAGGACGACUGCAGAUCCACUGCGAGCAGGAGGCACAACAGUGGUCGUUGCAGCGGUGCGGAGGAGUGAAGGAUUGGUUCCAUGGAUUUGGAUGCACACGAUUCUCCACUGGAUAACAGAUAAGCUUAAGCAGACAACCAAUAGGGGGCCCCUAAUUGAACUAAAACUGCGCAGUUGACUGACAGAUAUUUUGACCUUACUGAACUUAAA